CAAGUAUUAUUAAUCGGCUAGCAAAGGGAAGUUAAACAUACGACAUGAACUGAAUUAACCAGUGCGCACGACUAGCAAAAAAAAUAAAACUUCUUUUGACAACAAGUUUCUAAUUAAAUCAUGGCUACGCCUGGGCAGCGCUAUUAUGAGAGUGAAAGUGGACGUGCUGCUACUCCCCUCAUUCCCAACAUGUAUCAAGUACCUGCAUUGAGUAAUGCAAGAGUGAGAUGACACAUCUCAGCAAGUAAAAUAAUAUCAAACUGUUUAACCACAUAAGAAUAUUGUUUUACCACCACUUGAUUUCACAACCUUCUUAUUACAAAGGUGCAGCACGUAUACAACGUACAACACUCCUAGCUACCACACCUCGCAGGUAGAAACCACAAUAGUAACAUAGUAAUGUCACUCUUCAUAUAUAUACCUCAUGAGUGCAAAUGUCUGCAAAUGCAAGGAUGACUUCUGCCUUCAUACCUCUAAGGAUAUGAAGCCGCAUCGUACCCCUCCUCGGGCAACGUACGAUGCUAAAAAUGUACCGGUACGGUCGGACCAUAAGAUCACGACAUAACUUCAGAAUGCAAGAUGGAUGAUGCAAUGUGCAUGACAUGCCUACAACACUUCAUAUAACGUGAUUCAAAAAAAUACUUCAACUCCAUCCAUGAUGGGAAUCAACCACAUAUAUCAUUACCAAAUCAUGAUCAUCCACAAUAUUAGACAAUUGAGAAUUAAUACUUUCGAACAAAUAAACUUCAUCAUAGAAUUCAAUGAUUAACAUAUUUAAAACUUAUGCAUACUCAAUGACAGGGAAUAGGAUGCAAACCAAACGGUAGCAACCACCACUGUAUUUACUUGCCUUUACCGGAAGUUUGGGCAAAUCCCUAAGUACGAUCUGGAAGUCCACCACCUGUUUUUGACACACAACUUAGUGCACCAAUUCCACAUAACCAGGCUCAUAAACGACGUCGCACCUACGCACAAACUCAAACCCCGCCGCGGGUUACAUCUCUCCCCACACCCACCAAACUGCAGCGGCGCUGCUUAAUAAUUUCAUAACUUCAAAAUUAUGACAGCAUUGGUAACAAACAAAAACUCCAGAGGCAUCUACAUAAAAUUUCCCACAAGUUUUGUAUACAAUUUAUAAUUAAAUUCUAACAUCUAAUUAGCCCAAAACAGUUCACAAGAUGAACCCUGUAAUCUGUUUUUUCUCUUUUGGACAGCGACAUACCCGGAUUCAAACAGCGAUAUCUUUUAAAAUAUAAUUCCAAUUCAAGCGCAUAAGUACUCAUUGGAAAGAUAAGACAAAGCCAUACAUGAUUAUCAUACUGGUUAGCACUAAUUAACCACGAAAAAUUCCCAGAAAUUACUAAUACUACUGUUGUUCACCCACCUGAAAAAUCUGUUUUUUUUGGACAGCAACAUACCUGGAUUCAAACAGCGAUAUCUUUUAAAAUAUAAUUCCAAAUCAAGCACAUAAGUACUCAUUGGAAAGAUAAGACAAAGCCCUACAUGAUUAUAAUACUGGUUAAUACUAAUUACCCACGAAAAAUUCCCAGAAACUGCUAAUACUACUGCUGUUCACCCACCUAAAAAAUCUGUGUUUUUGGACAGCAACAUACCCGGAUUCAAACAACGAUAUCUCCUAAAUUAUAACUCCGAAUCGAGCGCAUAAGUACUCGUUGGAAAGGUAUGACAAAGCUCUACAUGAUUAUCCCACUGAUUCCCACUAAUUACCCCACGAAAAUUCCCAGAAAUCCCUAGAACUACUGCUGUUCACCCACUCACAAAAUUCCUGGACAGCACCUCUACCGAUUCGCAAAGAUAAACACAUAAUCCAAUUGAUUGCAGCACAAAAACAACAAAAGUUAAUCACAAAUUCACCUUAGGUUCUUCCCUUCCUCCUUCCUUCUUCCUUCCUCCAAACUCCAAUUGAGAUCGCAGCCACAUGACGGAGAACCACACGGGAGGGCUGCACCUUGGAGGAGGGGGAGAAAUGGGGGGGGGGGCGGCUAGGGUUUUGGGUGGUGAGGGCUGCAAAGGUUUGAGGAGGAAGAAGAUGGGAGAGGGGGGGGCGUCCAAGAGAAAGGGGAGGGGAAGGGGCGGCUGCAACAACCCAAGGGGGAAAAAGGGGGGGCGGCUAGGGUUAGGGGAGGGUUAGUGGGCCGGAUUGCGAUUCGCGGCCCAACUCGCUUGCACGACAGCUCCCGACCAACCACUCUAGUGCUAUACUAGUGAAUGUUUUCCACAAAUUCUAAAUCCCCAAAGCGCGACACCCGAAUAAGAGAAAAAACAAACAAAAAGAAUAACCUUCAACUUCUCUUCUUUGCAAACCGGGUAUCACACUCUACCCCCCUUAAAAAGAAUUCGACCUCGAAUUCCGACGCUUCUAUCGGAACGACAAGGAAAGAUCAGCGACAACAAAAACUCACCCCAUAACGAAAAGUUCAGGGUACUUCUGCCGCAUCAGCUCCUCGAGCUUCAAGUAUUCUAGGAUACGCAGCAGACGACACUCUAGAGUCAGGUCUUGCUACAUGGGAAUCGACUCUAGCUCGAUUAUUGAUAUGGAUUCCGCAAAUACUUUCUCAACAUAGAGACAUGGAAUACAUGGCGUACUCUGAUCAUAGACUCCGACAAUUGCAUGUGCUAAGCCAAGCUGCCAACUCGGGCUAAGAUAAUAGACAGUCCUAUAUAACCCGGACAAAAUUUUCCUGACACCAAAUCAACAUUGACACAUGCAAGUACUUCAAUGAAUAUAUAUAAUGAAAGCAAUACAUACUGUGCUCCAAUAGCCUAAACCAAACCUAUCCAAACAAGAGUAACUUCAAAAGAUCAAUUUAAUGCUUGCAUAUUUCUAGACAUCAGCACAACGGUUAAUUGUUUUGCUCAUAAACUCACAAAAUAUGCAUCCAACAGUAGUAAACUAGGACUUUAUGGAAAGCUUACAAAGUCCACUAUACCCUUGGUAUUAUCAUCACCACAAGAUUUGACACUUAGAAAGGACAAACAAUGCGAAACGUAAAUUUUGUCCAGACUUGGACAGAAUUCAACUACUCACUUAAAAAAAUCCAUAAUUGGAGUCUCAGUCAUCCAAUUUAGGCGCUCCUAGACUUUUUUGAAAGCCAGUAAAAUUGUCAAUAUUUCAUUUAUAAACAUACCAGGUUAAUUCAAUGCAUAUCAAGGUCCAAAGACAUAAGAAAGGCUUUGCUGUCCAAAUUUGGACAGAUUCAAAUAUUCCACUUAAAACAGCUGUAGCUUAACUUAUAGGUCACCAAAAAGGGUGAUCCAAUAUUUGUUGGAAAUCUUAAGGAAAGUACUCCACUUCUUUAUAAUUUAUAAGAACUGAUUCAAAGUUUAACUUGGGCAAACAAGGUCAGUUUCAAAAUCUGUACAGAAUCUGGACAGAUUCCAAGACUAGACUUGAGAAAAUCAUAACUCCCAAACUACUAGACCUAUGGUCAUGAAAUUUUACACAAGUAAGAUGAAGAAGUUGGCUACAACUUUUAUAUACAACACCUCUACAGAAAACAUGGUUUAAUUCAUUGAACUAGCUGCAUAACCAAAACUGGUCAUGUAGUCCCAAACAGUAAGCAAUAGAUUUAUUCAGGUUCUAUACUCUUCUAAGAUUAAGCGUUCAUCGAAGGACUAAUAACUUUAGGUUCUUCAUUACGAGACACUUAGAGCCAACGUAAAGAUAGAAGCCAUAUGCUAACUUUUUAAAUCAUUUUAAGCCUUAUCUCACAUCAUGGAAGCAAGAAUCGAUUUAAGCAUACUACGCCUGCCCAUAUAUCCAUCCAAGCAUAUUCUAUACAUUAUAUCAUUCCAUCGAAGAGCACCUUUUUUUAAUUAUACUAUGCAUAUAUAUCCAUCCAAUAACUCACCCAAUCUGCAUCUAACAAAAUUUUGCAAAUACAAACUCAUUGGAAAGGUUAUAACAUUCCCUAAAACUUUUAUUAUAAUGAGUGUCUCAGAAUUGGUUUCCAAACCGAUAAAACAAUGCAACUGCUUUGUUGCAAAACUGAUAGGAUAGAAAUAUUGGACAACUAAAAUUCAAAAUCCUAUAACUCCUGCUAUACUCAACUUAAAACUACAACGAACAUGCGUUGGAAAAGUUUGGAAAUUGUCCACGACUUUUGCAAUAAAGUUGCACCCAAAUUUAUCUUUAUAACCCUCAACUCUGCAUGACCUACAGCUAAACUCAACCUGAGAUACUGCACAUCAGAGAUUCGACUUAUAUCCGGACAACCACCUCUCCCAAUCUAUUUAAUAGGCAAUUACAAGUAAAUACCCAUUAAAAGGUACUUAGAAAAACUAAAAGUUUUUCUUAAAGAGAAUUCCCAAAUUUGGGCUCUGAAACUAUCAGAACACGGUCGAUUUAUUGGUGGUUUUAACGACACCUAAAGUUCAGACACAACGGUGUAACAACUUCAGAGUAGCCUAACUCCAAUUAUAUGCAAUGAAAAUUACAAACCAAUACUCUUUGGAAAGAUCAUGAAAUUACUAAAACUUUCAUAAUCCAACAAAAACCAAAAUUUACCGUCUUCAAUGUCUAUACUUCCGUACAAAAUUAAGGCUGCUAUAGGAAACCCAUAACUCUCCAAUGUUUAGACCAAACUGGGUGAUUGAGCAUCCUAUGCAAAGAUGAAGAAGCCUACUACAAAACAUUCUAGAUAAGUGAAGCCUGAUUCAGCCUCCAACUAAUUUAAAAUGACUCCCAAAACCAAACAACACCUUACCCAUAAUAAAAAAACAAUAUAAAAUAAAACCCAAGGCAUUGGCAGGUGCGAUCAACACUAGGAUUUUCCACUACCAAAUGGGGAUGCAACUCCCCAAAGCCUUUAAGCAACACUUUACCUAAUAGGUUAGAACACUAAGCACAACAAUCAACGAAUUAAACAACCUCGUUUGUUAAUGCCACUAAGGUCAAACAUCCAUGUAUCGACAAUGUAUGAAACACCUGACAUACCCGUCUCUAGCACUAUAAGACAUGGUUGUUAUUACACUAGAAUCCAACUAUUAGAGCUCUCCACAACUAUUCUGUUGACGUGAAGCAAAUGGUGCUCAUGUCAUGUAACGUCUUUUCCUCCUCUCAAAAGAGAUAAAAUUUGCAAUACUCAUAAAGCAAUGGAGGGAUAACAACAAGAAAAACUAAUGUACUUCUUGACACAGACUCAUGCAAAAGCUUCAUAAAUAUUACUUUCAAUACUAAAAUAGUAACACGAUACUAUGCUCAUCAGGAGUAAUUGGAUGUCAAUAAGACAAUCCACAUAACCAAACUACCUUGAUUAACCUCACAUACAACAAAACCUACUAUUACUGCACUUGAACAAUUUGUACCUCGUGAUAUCACAGGAUGCAUUCAAAGUAGUAGACAUACAUGAUCUAUCAAACCAUCAUUCAUAUAAGAAAAAUCUCAAUCCGAUGCAACAACCCCAUCAUUAAAGAGAUAGAUGACUAACAAACAUAAGCAACUCCCAGUUAAGCAUUGACUUCGUUUAAGAUAAAGCGGUCCAAAUAAUGAUUCAACAAGCAUGCAUAGAGAAACUGAUCAUAAAAAAAAAUCAAACUACCAUACAAUGUUGGCAAAUAAAAUAAAAUAAAAAUAAAAUGGGUUGUCAAUAUCGUCCACAUGACUAGCCUGCAACAACUAAAAAUUAUGCAUAGCCUUUAUGUCUAUUGAAACAAACCAUAGAAGGAAAACAUGCACGACAUAAAAUCCACUUGAAACCACCCUAUUUAUUGUUAAAAAAAUAAGGUUGCACAUAAUAAGAAAACCUAUCAGGUAAACAUGGUUGGACUUAUCAAUCUACGUCAUCUUACAAAUUCACUUGAGUUCUACCAGUCUCAAGAUUUCAUAGACAUUACAAUGUUGCCUUUGCUCUAUAGAGACAAACCAAUUUUAUACUAAGAUCAAGUUAGCAAGUAGCCACACUAGCCAAAAAAGUGAGGCGCAAAGCAUUGCACCCAUGGAAAUAUUACAUUGAUAAGUUGGGUUGUAACCCAACAGUCAAUCAAACUCAACAACACCAUAAAACUACAUUAUAUAGUGUUUUCACACUACACCAAGUCGGAUUAGACCCACUAUAGACAAGCUCAAUAAACAAUCGGUCCUACAAGUACUAGAACCCAAGAAUCCUUUUGGAAAAAAACAUCCACAGUCAAGCAUAUAGAAAUAUAUGAUAGUAAUAGCUCAGAGAUUUGAAAAUAUUGCAUCAAAAAAAACAUCAUGACAAUAUGUAUAUAAAACAAGUACAGUAGUAGCUUCACUUGCAUAAUAUCUUCAAUAACAACCACAUCAAGAAACCAAUAUUAAAUAGAAAUAACAUAUCAUAUCAAGCAUUACGUCAUUAAUGACGUACCCCAUCAAACCAUAAAGGAAUUUGGAGUAAGGAAGUUCUAGUCAUCUAUACAAUAAAAUACUAAUAUGAAAGAUAUACGAACACAUACCCUUCCUAUAUGUGCAAGUGUGUCAAAUUUAUCUUCAAAUUGCGUAGAAUCUAAAGCCUAUCCUCUGAUACCAACUGUAACACCCCGGGGUCCACAAACACCCCGGAAUGCUACUGAACUACACUUCUGACAUCUAUAUAAAAUUUUGGCAGCAUCUCCUUUGCAAAAUUGCAUAAAUGAGGGGGGGGGGGACAACAGUGUAUAAACAUAUAUCAUGACAAAAACAUACCAAGUAUUAUUAAUCGGCUAGCAAAGGGAAGUUAAACAUACGACAUGAACUGAAUUAACCAGUGCGCACGACUAGCAAAAAAAAUAAAACUUCUUUUGACAACAAGUUUCUAAUUAAAUCAUGGCUACGCCUGGGCAGCGCUAUUAUGAGAGUGAAAGUGGACGUGCUGCUACUCCCCUCAUUCCCAACAUGUAUCAAGUACCUGCAUUGAGUAAUGCAAGAGUGAGAUGACACAUCUCAGCAAGUAAAAUAAUAUCAAACUGUUUAACCACAUAAGAAUAUUGUUUUACCACCACUUGAUUUCACAACCUUCUUAUUACAAAGGUGCAGCACGUAUACAACGUACAACACUCCUAGCUACCACACCUCGCAGGUAGAAACCACAAUAGUAACAUAGUAAUGUCACUCUUCAUAUAUAUACCUCAUGAGUGCAAAUGUCUGCAAAUGCAAGGAUGACUUCUGCCUUCAUACCUCUAAGGAUAUGAAGCCGCAUCGUACCCCUCCUCGGGCAACGUACGAUGCUAAAAAUGUACCGGUACGGUCGGACCAUAAGAUCACGACAUAACUUCAGAAUGCAAGAUGGAUGAUGCAAUGUGCAUGACAUGCCUACAACACUUCAUAUAACGUGAUUCAAAAAAAUACUUCAACUCCAUCCAUGAUGGGAAUCAACCACAUAUAUCAUUACCAAAUCAUGAUCAUCCACAAUAUUAGACAAUUGAGAAUUAAUACUUUCGAACAAAUAAACUUCAUCAUAGAAUUCAAUGAUUAACAUAUUUAAAACUUAUGCAUACUCAAUGACAGGGAAUAGGAUGCAAACCAAACGGUAGCAACCACCACUGUAUUUACUUGCCUUUACCGGAAGUUUGGGCAAAUCCCUAAGUACGAUCUGGAAGUCCACCACCUGUUUUUGACACACAACUUAGUGCACCAAUUCCACAUAACCAGGCUCAUAAACGACGUCGCACCUACGCACAAACUCAAACCCCGCCGCGGGUUACAUCUCUCCCCACACCCACCAAACUGCAGCGGCGCUGCUUAAUAAUUUCAUAACUUCAAAAUUAUGACAGCAUUGGUAACAAACAAAAACUCCAGAGGCAUCUACAUAAAAUUUCCCACAAGUUUUGUAUACAAUUUAUAAUUAAAUUCUAACAUCUAAUUAGCCCAAAACAGUUCACAAGAUGAACCCUGUAAUCUGUUUUUUUCUCUUUUGGACAGCGACAUACCCGGAUUCAAACAGCGAUAUCUUUUAAAAUAUAAUUCCAAUUCAAGCGCAUAAGUACUCAUUGGAAAGAUAAGACAAAGCCAUACAUGAUUAUCAUACUGGUUAGCACUAAUUAACCACGAAAAAUUCCCAGAAAUUACUAAUACUACUGUUGUUCACCCACCUGAAAAAUCUGUUUUUUUUUGGACAGCAACAUACCUGGAUUCAAACAGCGAUAUCUUUUAAAAUAUAAUUCCAAAUCAAGCACAUAAGUACUCAUUGGAAAGAUAAGACAAAGCCCUACAUGAUUAUAAUACUGGUUAAUACUAAUUACCCACGAAAAAUUCCCAGAAACUGCUAAUACUACUGCUGUUCACCCACCUGAAAAAUCUGUGUUUUUGGACAGCAACAUACCCGGAUUCAAACAACGAUAUCUCCUAAAUUAUAACUCCGAAUCGAGCGCAUAAGUACUCGUUGGAAAGGUAUGACAAAGCUCUACAUGAUUAUCCCACUGAUUCCCACUAAUUACCCCACGAAAAUUCCCAGAAAUCCCUAGAACUACUGCUGUUCACCCACUCACAAAAUUCCUGGACAGCACCUCUACCGAUUCGCAAAGAUAAACACAUAAUCCAAUUGAUUGCAGCACAAAAACAACAAAAGUUAAUCACAAAUUCACCUUAGGUUCUUCCCUUCCUCCUUCCUUCUUCCUUCCUCCAAACUCCAAUUGAGAUCGCAGCCACAUGACGGAGAACCACACGGGAGGGCUGCACCUUGGAGGAGGGGGAGAAAUGGGGGGGGCGGCUAGGGUUUUGGGUGGUGAGGGCUGCAAAGGUUUGAGGAGGAAGAAGAUGGGAGAGGGGGGGCGUCCAAGAGAAAGGGGAGGGGAAGGGGCG
rnacentral:lncRNA from 1 species